rnacentral:snRNA from 1 species
AUACUUACCUGGCAGGGGAGACAUCAUGAUCAGGAAGGUGGUUUCCCAGGGUGAGGCUCAUCCAUUGUACUUGGGAUGUGCUGACCCCUGCAAUUUCCCCAAAUGCGGAAACUCAGCUGCAUAAUUUGUGGUAGUGGGGGACUGCGUUCACGCUCUCCCCUG